rnacentral:rRNA from 1 species
GGAGGAAAGCAGGGGAUCGUAAGACCUUGCGCUUUUGGAGCGGCCGAUGUCUGAUUAGCUAGUUGGUGGGGUAAUGGCCUACCAAAGCUUCGAUCAGUAGCUGGUCUGAGAGGACGGCCAGCCACACUGGGACUGAGACACGGCCCAGACUCCUACGGGAGGCAGCAGUGGGGAAUUUUGGACAAUGGGCGCAAGCCUGAUCCAGCCAUGCCGCGUGAGUGAAGAAGGCCUUCGGGUUGUAAAGCUCUUUCAGCCGGGAAGAAAAGGCUGCGAUUAAUAAUCGCAGUUCAUGACGGUACCGGAAGAAGAAGCACCGGCUAACUACGUGCCAGCAGCCGCGGUAAUACGUAGGGUGCGAGCGUUAAUCGGAAUUACUGGGCGUAAAGGGUGCGCAGGCGGUUUUGUAAGUCAGAUGUGAAAUCCCCGGGCUUAACCUGGGAAUUGCGUUUGAAACUACAAGGCUAGA